rnacentral:rRNA from 1 species
AGCCCAGCGUGAAGGCCUUAUCACUCCGGUGUUAAGGCGGUGCCACGUUAAUGACUUGUCAUAGUGCUUUGCUGAAGCUUCAUGAAUGCUUUUGAAUAAGCUUCAUUUUAGCCAAAGAGGGUGCAAGCCCCUUGGUGUUGUGGAUGCAAAGCAUGGACUUGUCAUGAUAGAGUCGGGUUGCUUGAGAGUGCAACCUAAAUUAGAUGGUAAGCUCCAUCUAAGGCUAAAUAUCGCUGUGAGACCGAUAGCAAACAAGUACCGUGAGGGAAAGUUGCAAAGAACUUUGAAGAGAGAGUUCAAUAGGACGUGAAACCGUUUGCAGGUAAACAGAUGGACCCACGAAGUCCAGUUGAGCAGAGAAUUCAUAUUUYUCGAAUAGUUCUCUACUGAUUUUACUCCUCUGUAAAGAGGAGUAGGUUGGUUAGAGUUCUGUCGAGAGAUGCAUUUUUUCUGCUCACGCUGGAGCUCUGACUGCUCUUUGAUUUAAGUCGUGUAAGGCAGCUCUAGAUUGUGAGAUAUUUCUCAGGAAAUAUUUCUACUUUCUGGAGUUCAUGAUGAAGUCAAACGAGCGGGUGAAUUACUCACUUUGGUGAGUGUUUAGGUUGUCGAUGUCUCUGCUCAGGUAGAAUGUGCUGGUCUUUGAGUUUUCGGC